CGGGGCGGGAGGAGGCCCCGGGUUGGUAAAACGAGAAGAGGGUUCCGCGAACUUGGGCGGCUUAGCAAGAGCUGGGGCGCGGGGUGGCUGGCGGGGGCGCCACCUGCCGUGAGCCUUGGGGGCGCUUUGGGAGGCCCGCUUCCUGCCCUCCGGGUGCCCUGCUACCGGGCGACCGGGGAGGACGCGCCAGCACGGUGUUCACCGCCGGGCCUGCACCGGCGCGGACGACCACCUCCCCCGGGCCGCGCCCCUCCUCUUCGCUCGGCCCCGCCCCGCGCCGCGCCCGGUUGGGCCUGGAUUUCCGGAGCGGCCUGGGUCUCUCCAGGUCCCCCAGCCCCCUGCACGGAAAGGAGGACUCCCAGAUGUUAAAGCUCCCGGGGACUCCAAGGGACGGCCUCCUUGUUCUGCAGAAACAAGAUUCUUGAGAGGUUGGGGAUCCGCAGUGGACCAAGCGCCCAGAGGCGGCCUGUGGCUGGCCUGUAUUGACAGGAAGUGGAUAGACCACGCGUUCCACCCAGUGUCCUAGGUCUCGAGAAACCAACCAAACAGCGACAACGGACAGGAAAUCUGAGCAAGCAGCCUUGGGAAACACAGGCUGGCAACAGACUGCACGCAGGUCUUUAAUAAGUUCGUUUCCAUGAGGAAGCCUCCAAAAUAGGCUUCCUGAGCAGAAGUGAUUAAGGGCUUCCCUGGUG